rnacentral:lncRNA from 1 species
AUAAUAAAGAGGAUGAUACAGAGUGUUAUUGAUGAUCUAACAUACAAGGAUAAACAGGAUCCUGAUGACAGUGGAUGUGUUAACAAAAAAGAAGAAAUUAAUUGUGCUCCUCAAAAAAAGGGUGAUCAAAUUAAUAAAGACUGCAUUGGGAAGAAAAUGA